GGCAGGAAGGCGCAGGGUGCAUGUCGGCUUUUGAUAAAGAGAAAAGACUGCGCGAAAAUGAACCGAAGGUCCCCGUUCGACUCGGGGUCCUGCCA